UCCGUAGGUGAACCUGCGGAAGGAUCACUAGUGAUUAAAUCGAGCGUGUCUUCAUUGACCGCUCACCCUUCUCACCAUCCACAUACACCUGUGCACUGUUUAGCCUGAGCCGUUUCGGUUCAGGUUAUCAUUUCAUACAAACUCUAGUCUUAUGAAUGUAAACGUUUUAAUAACAUAAUAAAACUUUCAACAACGGAUCUCUUGGUUCUCGCAUCGAUGAAGAACGCAGCGAAAUGCGAUAAGUAAUGUGAAUUGCAGAAUUCAGUGAAUCAUCGAAUCUUUGAACGCACCUUGCGCUCCUUGGUAUUCCGAGGAGCAUGCCUGUUUGAGUGUCAUGAAACUCUCACCCUCUAGCUUUCUUAAUCGUGGCUAGCGGCGUGGACGUGAGCGCUGCUGCUUUGUUGCGGCUCGCUCGGAAUGCAUUAGCAGACCCUUUUCGUAAUCGGUUCCACUCAACGUGAUAAGUAUUUCGUUGAGGACAGUUGCAGCAAUGCGGCUGGCCGGGAUAAGAAAGGCAUAGUCGUCAGCUUCUAAUCGCCCUCGGGCAAUUUUUUAUGAUCUGGCCUCAAAUCAGGUAGGACUACCCGCUGAACUUAAGCUCAUCAAUAAGCGGAGGA
rnacentral:rRNA from 1 species